rnacentral:rRNA from 1 species
ACGAACGUUGGCGGCGUGGAUUAGGCAUGCAAGUCGAACGGAAAGGCCCCGCAAGGGGUACUCGAGUGGCGAAAGGGGCAGUAAUGCGUGGGUAACCUACCCCGGGGAUCGGGACAAUCACGUAAUAGUGGUAAAUACCGGGCGAUCUAGCGAAGUCGCAUGACCUUGCUAGGAAACGAAUUUCGCCUCGGGAGGGGCUCACGUGGUAUUAGCUUGUUGGUAGGGUAACGGCCUACCAAGGCAAAGAUGCCUAGCAGGCGUGAGAGCGUGACCUGCGCCACUGGCACUGAGACACUGGCCAGACUCCUACGGGAGGCUGCAGUCGAGGAUCUUCGGCAAUGGGCGCAAGCCUGACCGAGCGACGCCGCGUGUGCGAUGAAGGCCUUCGGGUUGUAAAGCACUGUCGAGGGGGAGGAAGGCGAAAGCUUGACCUAUCCCUGGAGGAAGCACGGGCUAAGUUCGU